GGCGGGGGCACGGGGGGGCUCAGAUUGAACGCUGGCGGCAUGCCUAACACAUGCAAGUCGAACGAGACCUUCGGGUCUAGUGGCGCACGGGUGCGUAACGCGUGGGAACCUGCCCUUAGGUUCGGAAUAACAGUUAGAAAUGACUGCUAAUACCGGAUAAUGUCUUCGGACCAAAGAUUUAUCGCCUUUGGAUGGGCCCGCGUAAGAUUAGGUAGUUGGUGGGGUAAUGGCCUACCAAGCCGACGAUCUUUAGCUGGUCUGAGAGGAUGAUCAGCCACACUGGGACUGAGACACGGCCCAGACUCCUACGGGAGGCAGCAGUGGGGAAUAUUGGACAAUGGGCGAAAGCCUGAUCCAGCAAUGCCGCGUGAGUGAUGAAGGCCUUANGGUUGUAAAGCUCUUUUACCAGGGAUGAUAAUGACAGUACCUGGAGAAUAAGCUCCGGCUAACUCCGUGCCAGCAGCCCGCGGUAAUACGGAGGGAGCUAGCGUUGUUCGGAAUUACUGGGCGUAAAGCGCACGUAGGCGGNGACUCAAGUCAGAGGUGAAAGCCCGGGGCUNAACCCCGGAACUGCCUUUGAAACUAGGUUGCUAGAAUNCUGGAGAGGCNAGUGGAAUUCCGAGUGUAAAAGGUGAAAUUCUAGAUAUUCNGAAGAACACCAGUGGCGAANGCAACUCCUUGGACAGGUAUUGACCCUUAAGGUGCGAAAGCCUUGGGGAGCCAAACAGGNUUUAGAUUNCCCUGGUUAGNCCACNCCUUUAAAACNA
rnacentral:rRNA from 1 species